rnacentral:rRNA from 1 species
UACGAAGGGGGCUAGCGUUGCUCGGAAUCACUGGGCGUAAAGGGUGCGUAGGCGGGUCUUUUAAGUCAGGGGUGAAAUCCUGGAGCUCAACUCCAGAACUGCCUUUGAUACUGAGGAUCUUGAGUUCGGGAGAGGUGAGUGGAACUGCGAGUGUAGAGGUGAAAUUCGUAGAUAUUCGCAAGAACACCAGUGGCGAAGGCGGCUCACUGGCCCGAUACUGACGCUGAGGCACGAAAGCGUGGGGAUCAAACAGG